UUUUGAUUAUGGAUAGCCCUAAUGUGUUUCUGAGAUCUAAUGUUCUCAUCCAGGCCAUUAGGGCUUACUGCUUAGGAAGGAUAUCAUCGAGAAGAAGAAGACGAGAAUCGACUGCGAGUCUAGGAUAUCAGUCUGCGAGUGCCGAGUCUUGACGAGAAUCGACUGCUUAGGAUAUCAGUCUACGAGUUACGACUUACGAGUUACGAUCAGUCGACAGUCGAGCUCGAGUCUCAUCUCAUCUUCACCGGUUAACUUCACUACUUUUGCGACGAUUUCUAGCUCGAUUCGAUUCCCCACUCCUCACAAAUUUCGGGCAAACGAAGUGUCGAAGACGCUGCUGUCCUGUUCCAGUGUUCCGAGCUCGAUUCAAUUUCAAUUUCAAAGGUAAAUGCUAGUGAUAGUCGUGGAAAGGCUGAUUCUAAAAUUGAGAAAGGAAUUGGUGGUAGUACUGCAAAUUCCAUAAAAGAACUUGUUAGCAAUGAAUCCCUAGGUGCUAAUAUUGGCAGAUUGCACCAUCAGAAGACUGUUCUGACUUCUGAUUAUGGAUGAGGUUGAUGGCAUGACUGCUCCUAGAUUUCCUAUUCUUUCGGAGUUGGCUCGUGAUGUGUUGGCAAUUCCAAUUUCUAGUGUGGCGACGGAAUGCGCGUUUAGCACUGGUGGUCGUAUUCUUUAUUCAUUUAGGAGUUCAUUGACUCCUAAAUGUGUGCAAGCUCUUAUUUGUGUUGCACUGUAUUUAAGUGUUAAUACUUAAGACUGUUUUUGUUGGACUGUGUUUAACUUGUUUAACUGUGUUUAAGUUGUUGGACUUGUUGGACUGUGUUAAGUGUUUAACUGUGUUUAAGUUGUUUAAUAUAGUUGUGUAAUGUGCAUUGUGCAGUUUGCUAGCUUUUGCCAA